rnacentral:rRNA from 1 species
CCUACGGGAGGCAGCAGUGAGGAAUAUUGGUCAAUGGGCGCGAGCCUGAACCAGCCAAGUCGCGUGAGGGAAGACGGUCCUAUGGAUUGUAAACCUCUUUUGUCGGGGAGCAAAAGACGCCACGCGUGGCGUUCCGAGAGUACCCGAAGAAAAAGCAUCGGCUAACUCCGUGCCAGCAGCCGCGGUAAUACGGAGGAUCCGAGCGUUAUCCGGAUUUAUUGGGUUUAAAGGGAGCGUAGACGGGGGGUUAAGUCAGGUGAAAGUUUGCGGCGCCAACGUAUAAGUGCAGUUGAUACUGGCAGUCUUGAGUACGGGUGAGGUAGGCGGAAUGCGUGGUGUAGCGGUGAAAUGCAUAGAUAUCACGAAGAACUCCGAUUGCGAAGGCAGCAUACCAACCCGCAACUGACACUCAUGCACGAAAGUGUGGGUAUCAAACAGGAUUAGAUACCCUGGUAGUC